ACCCAGCUGGCUUAGUCGGUAGAACACGUGACUCUUGAUCUCAGGGUUGUGGGUUCAAGCCCCAUGUUGUGUG
rnacentral:tRNA from 1 species